CUGCUACGCUGCUACUCUGCUACUCUGUGUUUAAUUUUAAUAUGUUAAUCGGAUAGCAUGGACUAUUGCAAUUUAGUUCUUGGGAAUACCUUUUCUGUAGGGUGAAUAAGGCCAGGUAAGACCACAGGGCCCACCAGGACCACCAGGAUCAGGCCAUCAGGGAGCACAGGGUAUACAGGGUCCACCAGGAGUCCCUGGGCCAAAAGGCUCUCAAGGCUCUAAUUGGCCAGGACCAAAGGGUGAACCAGGUAGACCUGGACAAAAAGGACAACCAGGACUUCCAGGAAUUAACUCAUCAGGACAUAAAGUGAGCUUGCUUUUAUUUUUGAUUGUUCUUUACAUGGUCUUUUAAUUCUUCCACUAAUUGUUGAUAACCAAGUAGAAGACUUUUUGGUACAAAUUAACUGUGGUUAAAAUAAGAAGGAAUUUCAGUGAGGGUUGUAAAAGCA